rnacentral:tRNA from 1 species
GCCUGGGUGGCUCAGUCAGUUGGGCGUCUGACUUCGGAUCAGGUCAUGAUGACACGGCUCUUGGGUUCAAGCCCCACAUCAGGCU